CGAAUGCCCGAUAGGCUGGGACGAAUACCGCUUCGCUUUUGAUAUCUAUAAGCACACAAAUAAACAAAAGUAAAUACUUAUAAAAAUGGAAGCAACAAGACCAAGUGCCUUGUGGACAUUCAAGCUGAUGGCGCCGUAUGUGCUUCUUGGCUACGUGACCGGCCUCGUGAUGACACUCGCAUGGAACUUUUGGCAACUGGGACACUUCAACCUGGGAAUUAACCUGACCUUCGCGAUUCCUUUGGUGACUGUCCUGAUGCUUCUCUACAGCCGACCAGUAAGGUGCAUCCUGGCAAUAGCCGUUCCCUCGCUGUGCAGCUCCCGGGGCAGGGCAUUCCUCAUCAGCCUCGCGCUCGUCCUGGCCGCCGUGGGCCCCACGGCCAACAUCCUAGCCAACCUGAAGGUAAUGCUUCGCAGUCUUGCCUGCGGUCAGGAGCUGUUGCGCCAGGCGCUCGGCCAGAUGUUGGAUGUGAUCCUGGAGCCGGUAAAUGCCAUCCAGUUGGCCGUGGACCUGUUGCUCCAGGAAGUGCGCCGGGUGCUUAAGCAGGCCAUGGUGGUGCUACUUCGCAUCCAAGAGCAUCUGAUCGCAAUCAUUGACACCCUCAAGAACUGCGCCGCUUGGCUGAAAUCCGUCGUUGAUCUGUGCAACACGGAAAUGGGCACUCCGUGGGAGCGCUGCAAAAACACGGCGCACCACGCUAUGGUCAGCUGCCAGGCCAAGAUGGGCGUCUUUAAGGCGCUCUGCCAUGCCACCAAACUAUUCCUGGCCCUGUGCUAUCCCGCAAAAAUCCUCGAUGUGUUUUGUAGCGGUUACUGGGACCACAGCUGGGCCCUGCUGGACAAGAUCUUAGAGCGCUACCGUGAAUUUGUAAGGCACAUAGAGCAAAUGUUUGAUGCCAAUAUCACCUUCCAGCACGAGUUUUUCUUCGAUACAAACUCCUCCAAGAGUUUGGCGGACGUGGGCGAAGAGAUAAUCCAAGACAUCAACCAGCGACUCUCACCGUUUAUCUUUCUGCAAAGCUUCAUGGACAUUCUCUGCUGGGUCAUGGUGGUUACCGUUAUUUUUAAAGCCAUCAUUUUCUACCUGCGCUACAUGUACAGCCGGCAAUUUCAGAAUGUGUUCCUGACUCAGACGCUACGUGAUAUCGACAAGCUGCACGAUAAACACGGAUUCCCUGUUUUGCUGCCGUUGCAACGGCUUGAGAAGGCGAAAUACAUGAAGCUCACCAGUUUACGUCUGACACUUUUCGAGCUCGCGACUAUUGUUGAAAAUGUCUUCUUUAUGAUAACCACCUGCCUGCAGCUCUUUGCUAUCUGCUUUCUUGACUACGGGCUGUUCUGGCUGCUGGCCACAAUGUCCUUUUACGGCCACAAGGAGGCCGGACUGGAGGUGCCCGCCUACAUCGAUCUGGAUAUCAAGGGCGGGGGAUUUGUGGCCGACAUCAUGCGGGGAAUCGCGAAUGCCUUUCGACCCCUCACCCAGAAAAGCGUCCUGGACACCAAUCCUUGCCUACCGCUGCCCGUGAAGCCCGACUAUGCGAAGUAUGUCCUGAUAUUGUUGCUCUGCCUGCUCGCCUGGCUGUUGGUGCUGGCCGAGCCGUAUGUGUUGCGCACUCGUCAUCUUAUAAUGGCCUACUUUUACCCGGAGAGAGCCAAGGAAAGAGCCAUUUUCCUAUACGAAAAGAUCUCAGAUGAUAGAUCAAGCAUCUUUAAGUUUAUACGUCGCAGGAAGCGAAAUGAGUUCAAUCAUAAGCGGAAUGUGGAGCAACCUUUAUGUUUCAACUGGCUAAGCAGGGGCUUUGCAUGCCUCAUCAGCUGGAGCUGCUGCUGCUCCUCCUAUCAAAAUACUGAGAGAUGCACCAUAUGCGGCAUAUCCCUGACAUCCUCGACUCGUAACCCCUGCAACACUCCAGGCUGCAAGGGCGUCUACUGCGAUGAAUGCUUCGAAAAGUCUUACAAGAAGUGCUGCUUAUGCAGCGGACCGAUAGAAUAUGGCGAUUUCUCUGACGUUUCUGAAGUGGACGACUCUUCGGACUACUCCGAAAAGGAGUCAUUCGGGAAGAAGCGCUACAGGGAGAUCUGCGACGGACGGGGUCGGCCAGGGAAGAAGAUCGAAAUAAAACCUUAGAGCAUUCCCCCUUUUUGCUACACAUUCAGACUUAAAGAAGAAAAUCAACAUAUUGAAGAAUACUUGUCAUUUGAUUGAAUCAAUGAAAAUAUAUUGUUUAAGAAACUGUACGCCAAGGCCAUUUAUGAUAAUUAUGCAGACACGCCGGACGAGCUUGCCUUCAAGAAGGGCGACAUCCUCACCGUCAUUGAACAGGA